AGACGGAGGGUCCUAGCGUUGUUUGGAAUAACUGGGCGUAAAGGGUACGUAGGCGGUUUAGUAAGUUAGAUGUGAAAGCCCAGGGCUCAACCUUGGAACUGCAUUUAAAACUGCUGGACUCGAGAUCGGAAGAGGAAAGUGGAAUUUCUAGUGUAGAGGUGAAAUUCGUAGAUAUUAGAAGGAACAUCAGAGGCGAAGGCGACUUUCUGGUCCGAUACUGACGCUGAGGUACGAAAGCGUGGGGAGCAAACAGGAUUAGAUACCCUAGUAGUCC
rnacentral:rRNA from 1 species